GAUGAACGCUGGCGGCGUGCUUAACACAUGCAAGUCGAACGAUGAAGCUCAGCUUGCUGGGUGGAUUAGUUGCGAACGGGUGAGUAACACGUGAGUAACCUGGCCUUAACUCUGGGAUAAGCCUGGGAAACUGGGUCUAAUACCGUAAAGGCGCGGCUACCGCAUGUGGGGUGUUGGCAAGAUUGUACGGGUUUGGAGGGGUUGGCGGCGUAUCAGCUUGUUGGUGUGGUUAGGUCGCACCAAGGCGACGACGGGCAGCCGGGCUGGGAGGGUGACCGGCCACACCAGGACUGGACCGCGGCCCAGCCCCCACCGGGACGCAGCGGUGGAGAAUAUUGCACCAUGGGAGCAAGCCUGAUGCGGCGCAGCCGCGUGGGGGAUGACGGCCUUCGGGUUGUAAACCUAUUUCAGUAGGGAAGAAGCGAUAGUGACGGUACCUGCAGAAGAAGCACCGGCUAACUACGUG
rnacentral:rRNA from 1 species